rnacentral:rRNA from 1 species
AACGAACGCUGGCAGCAGGCUUAACACAUGCAAGUCGAGCGCCCCGCAAGGGGAGCGGCAGACGGGUGAGUAACGCGUGGGAAUCUACCCAUCUCUACGGAAUAACGCAUGGAAACGUGUGCUAAUACCGUAUACGUCCUUCGGGAGAAAGCUUUAUCGGAGGUGGAUGAGCCCGCGUUGGAUUAGCUAGUUGGUGGGGUAAAGGCCUACCAAGGCGACGAUCCAUAGCUGUUCUGAGAGGAUGAUCAGCCACACUGGGCCUGAGACACGGGCCAGACUCCUACGGGAGGCAGCAGUGGGGAAUAUUGGACAAUGGGCGCAAGCCUGAUCCAGCCAUGCCGCGUGAGUGAUGAAGGCCCUAGGGUUGUAAAGCUCUUUCACCGGUGAAGAUAAUGACGGUAACCGGAGAAGAAGCCCCGGCUAACUUCGUGCCAGCCGCCGCCGUAAUAC